rnacentral:rRNA from 1 species
CGGGAGCCCCCAUCCUCGUGCAUGCAGGUUUCUGGGGAGUGAAAAAAGCCCCAUGAAACCGGCGCACGGGUGCGUAACGCGUUUGCAACCUACCUUCACCUGGGGGAUAGCCCGGAGAAAUCCGGAUUAAUACCGCAUAAAAUCACAGUACCGCAUGGUACAAUGAUCAAACAUUCAUGGGGAGAAGAUGGGCAUGCGUGCCAUUAGUUAGUUGGCGGGGUAACGGCCCACCAAGACUUCGAUGGCUAGGGGAUCUGAGAGGAUGGCCCCCCACACUGGUACUGAGACACGGACCAGACUCCUACGGGAGGCAGCAGUAAGGAAUAUUGGUCAAUGGGCGCAAGCCUGAACCAGCCAUGCCGCGUGCAGGAAGACGGCCCUCUGGGUUGUAAACUGCUUUUAUUCGGGAAUAAACCUGCUUACGUGUAAGUAGCUGAAUGUACCGAAGGAAUAAGGAUCGGCUAACUCCGUGCCAGCAGCCGCGGUAAUACGGAGGAUCCAAGCGUUACCCGGAUUUAUUGGGUUUAAAGGGUGCGUAGGCGGCCUGUUAAGUCAGGGGUGAAAGACGGUAGCUCAACUAUCGCAGUGCCCUUGAUACUGACGGGCUUGAAUUGACUAGAGGUAGGCGGAAUGUGACAAGUAGCGGUGAAAUGCAUAGAUAUGUCACAGAACACCGAUUGCGAAGGCAGCUUACUAUGGUCUUAUUGACGCUGAGGCACGAAAGCGUGGGGAUCAAACAGGAUUAGAUACCCUGGUAGUCCACGCCCUAAACGAUGAAUACUCGCUGUUGGCGAUACACAGUCAGCGGCUAAGCGAAAGCGUUAAGUAUUCCACCUGGGGAGUACGCCC